AACGCGAAGAACCUUACCAAGUCUUGACAUCCCGCUGACCGGUCCGUAACGGGACCUUCUCUUCGGAGCAGUGGAGACAGGUGGUGCAUGGUUGUCGUCAGCUCGUGUCGUGAGAUGUUGGGUUAAGUCCCGCAACGAGCGCAACCCUUAUCCUUAGUAGCCAGCAUUUCGGAUGGGCACUCUAGGGAGACUGCCAGGGAUAACCUGGAGGAAGGUGGGGAUGACGUCAAAUCAUCAUGCCCCUUAUGAUUUGGGCUACACACGUGCUACAAUGGCGUAAACAAAGGGAAGCGACCCCGCGAGGGCAAGCAAAUCUCAAAAAUAACGUCUCAGUUCGGAUUGUAGUCUGCAACUCGACUACAUGAAGCUGGAAUCGCUAGUAAUCGCGAAUCAGAAUGUCGCGGUGAAUACGUUCCCGGGUCUUGUACACACCG
rnacentral:rRNA from 1 species